UUAUCUGCUCCGCUCAGUCUGCGGGCAGGAAGAGAUGGCAGCGGGGGAGACACAGCUCUACGCCAAGGUUACCAGCAAGCUCAAGGGCCGCAGCUCCUCCGCGCUCCUGGAGCCCCUCCUGGACAUGGGCUUCCCGGCCCACACCGCGCUCAAGGCACUGGCAGCUACGGGGAGGAAGACGGUGGAGGAGGCAUCAGACUGGUGAGUGGGGCACCGGUAGGGCGGUGAGGUCUCUGCGCAGUGGACCCUCUGGGCGGCCGGGGCAGAGCGGAAGGAGGAAAGAACCCGUGUUUGAAUGGACAGCAAAAGAGAGAGAAUGUCUGAAGCCUUCCGUAACCCGAAUGUGGCUGGCGGGGGGCCAGGGGGGGGGUUGCUGACCAAAUGAGGAAGAGCCAUGUCGCAGAUACGAUGACCCCGAGUCACCACUAUCUCUGCCUCUGAUGGGGACGGGCCUUGCGGGGGGCCGGGCGUAUGUCCCUUAAGUCCCCACAUGUGGCACCUUGAGGGAGCCUGCUGCUUCGGGCAGGGGAGCCCUAGGCUAGGGUCCAAGUGGCUCUGCCACCGCCAGGUCUGCGACCCUGCCAGCUGCCCCCUGCUACCAGCCUGGGAUUUCUGCCCUGGGCCUCCAAGAGGGCACCCCCUCCCUGAAACCCAGCCCUGCCCGCGUGGGCCGUGACGCCACUGUCCUGCCCCAAGGGGAAGUCCCCUCACGCUCUAACCCAGAAGAGCUGCGACGAAAAACACGCAAAAAACCCAGGUCCCGCCAGGCUGGGGUGCCCGCCCCAGAGCAGGAUGGUCGUCACUGGCACUGGGUCCCUGUGUGCCCAGCGAGUCUUCAGUGGGGACUCCCACCCGCUCCAGAAACUCUAGGCCAAGGGCAAACAUUCAACCCUGGUACGGACAAGGGGGGACACCCAGGACCAUCCAGCCUAGGCGAGCUCCAAGGUCAGUUGCCAAACUUGAACUAAAAACCAAACCCAGGAUUUCCGUUGCUGUUCUGGGGGUGAAGAACCCAACUAGCAUCCAUGAGGACGCGGGUUCCAUCCCUGGCCUUGCUCAGUGGGUUAAGGAUCUGGCAUUGCUGUGAGCUGUGGUGUAGGUUACAGAUGCGGCUCAGAACCCAUGGCUGUGGCUGUGGGGUAGGCCAGAAGCUGCAGCUCCGAUUCGACCCCUAGCCUGGGAACUUCCCCAUGUGCCAUGGGUACAGCCCUAAAAAAACCCACAGUGCUUCCAGGGCUGGGGUUGGUCCUGGUAGCAGUGAGUCAGCCAGAAAGCCCAGCAGCCCUGCCAGGAACAGGGAGAGAGUGGGUGCCCUGGACUCUGCUAGAGCGGACCCAACCCCACUCCUGAGCAGGGAGCUGCAGAUUCGGAUGCUGUUAACCACAAGGGCAGCCUCAAGGUGGAGAUGGGGGGCUCUUACUUUCCCAGUCGCCAUCUGGGGGUGACUAUCCACCCAGCAAAUGUGUGCCCCCGCUGCCCAGCGGUUCGCAUCCAAGUUCAUUCCCUGGAGAAAUGCAAAGGGCCUAAAAAGACACGUGCAAAAUCUUGAUCACGGUGCUCUGAUAGUUUUUAAAAAGAAAACUAUUUCCAGGCCCAUCAAAGGCAUGUGGAUGGGUGAAAUGUUACACAUGCAGAUGACGGAAUGUUACGUAGCUCUUAGAAGGCUCACUCGGGGAGUGACGGUGUGGCUCAGUGGUAACAGACCGACUACCAUCCAUAAGGAUGUAGGUUCGAUCCCUGGCCCCGCUCGGUGAGUCAAGGAUCCGGCGUUGCCGUGAGCUGGGGUGUAGGUCACAGACGUGGCUCGGAUCUGGCAUUGCUGUGACUGCGGUGUAGACCAGCAGCUGCAGCUCCGAUUGGACCCCCAGCCUGGGAACUUCCAAACGCCAAGAGU
rnacentral:lncRNA from 1 species